GACGAACCGUGCGAACGUUGUUCGGAAUCACUGGGCUUAAAGGGCGCGUAGGCGGGCUGCCAAGUCAGGGGUGAAAGCCCACGGCUCAACCGUGGAAGUGCCUUUGAUACUGGCGGUCUCGAGGGAAGUAGGGGCGUGCGGAACUUCCGGUGGAGCGGUGAAUGCGUAGAUAUCGGAAGGAACACCGGUGGCGAAAGCGGCGCGCUGGACUUCUACUGACGCUGAGGCGCGAAAGCCAGGG
rnacentral:rRNA from 1 species